UACUAGCACACAAUGCAUCUCCUGGAAUCCUGCAUAUGCUAGUGUGCCACGAUUUUCUCUGGCCCUGCCACAUGCACCAGUUACCCCUCCACCAGAAAUACCCGAUACACUUGACAACAAGUGGAGUAGCCUUGCCCGGACUGACCAAUUGCCAGCUUGCCUCAUGUGCUCAGCAGUGAGGGCUAGAGCCCAGCUGGGGAGUUCCCCACCUUCCCCCACCAGGCCGACUCCCACACCCAGAUCUCACUUGUUCUAGAGGUUUCUAGCCCCUAACCCUGCAGUCUGCACCCUCUGUCUUGUCCUUUGUGUGAGCUGAUGUAUGAUGUUGCCCUUGCCACUACAUAUCAUUUAUUUGUGUGUGUGUGUGUUCCUGCAGGUGCUGCAUCCUGGAUGAGCUGGGUCUGUUCCCAACCCGAGUUUCCAUGAGUGCCAGCGGGUUCCUUGGUCAUGCCUAGCUCAACGCAUGGCCACCCUAACUCCUGAGCAAACCAGCCCCUGCCAGCUUUGCACCCUGGGUCUCUCUGCACUGCAGUGCAGGCCACGCCUCCCGCUCCAAGGCCCUUUGCAGGUGAAGAGUCAGUCACCAUCAGUGCUCAGGGUCCAGCGAGGGAGUCAAGGGACCACCACGCCAUGGCGCAGCAAGACCACCUGACAGCACGCAAGAUGGGACAGAAAAGCCAGCAUGCAUGGUGGAGUGGCCCUUGGUGUCUGGACUGCUGCUGUUGCUGAAGAACGUCUCCCCUGGGCUCACCGACCUGGAAGCAGGAGAGACCCAGUCAGACGUGACUCGCAGCCAGUUCAGUCCCCACGGGUGGGCUGGGAGACAGACUCCCUGGCGCCCUGGCCCUUGGUUCUGAACUCUGGUCUUUGUCAGCCAUCCUCGGCCUGUCAGUGGGGGUCCCUGACUCUGGGCCUGAGGUGGGCCACUCGCCAACAGGAGAGCCCAUGCCCAAUCCCAGACCCUAACCACUCAGCUCACGGCCCAAGGUGCGUCCUUGCCCAGCCCCCAUCCCUGACGGGAACUAAUGAGUCAGGGGUGACCACCACGCAGGAUGUUGCUGUGCUUACCCUUCCGCGUUCUGGCAAAUUCCAUGAG